rnacentral:rRNA from 1 species
UACGUAGGGGGCUAGCGUUGUUCGGAAUUACUGGGCGUAAAGCGCACGUAGGCGGAUAUUUAAGUCAGGGGUGAAAUCCCAGAGCUCAACUCUGGAACUGCCUUUGAUACUGGGUAUCUAGAGUAUGGAAGAGGUAAGUGGAAUUCCGAGUGUAGAGGUGAAAUUCGUAGAUAUUCGGAGGAACACCAGUGGCGAAGGCGGCUUACUGGUCCAUUACUGACGCUGAGGUGCGAAAGCGUGGGGAGCAAACAGG